AGGGCAAAAGUUCAGCAUCAAAAUCAAUGAAUCGAAAGUUUUGUGCCGAUUGUGUCUGCGUCUC
ensembl:ncRNA F44E8.43 ncRNA